UAUAAAGAGCCUACCUCCACUUCAUUGACACCUGUGAAUUAAUUUCAUUGCUAAAACUACCUUCUUCAAUAACCUUUUAACACAAUGACAUACUGACUGUGAAGAAACAUAGUUCUUUAAUCUUUUUGAUUAAUGACUACCAACUUUUAACUCCCACAUAUAAAAUAACUUGAAGAUUGACAUAGUCUACCGUCACUCAAAAGAAUACUGUUUCCACCAAUUGUAAUUGUGAAUUCGACUACAUCUUAGUCCACAUUCAAAAGCACGAAAUCGACAAUCUCAACGAUCCAGAGUUUAAGAAAAACGCGAAUUGGCUGCAAAUGCUGACGGCGUUGAUCGAGGAUCACCAGGAUUACGAGGGCAAGGAAGCGAAGGUUCAGUUGAACGAAUGGAUGCGAGAAAGGGAUAAUCUACGCAACGAUAUCAAACGCGUAUUCAACCAACAGUUUGGUUCAGUCUUUAGGACGUACCAUAAUCCGACCUACUUUUCUAGGCGUCUCUUUCGCUUCGCGGACAUCUACAUGAGCAACAUUACCAACCUCUUAAACUAUUCGACCACUCACACCUUUUACCCGAGGAGAGGAGUCAUGCCCCAUGAAUACACUAACUAUUUCGUAUAAACCGUGCGCAAACCGAGCCAAAACCAUCAUGCGGUAUAAAAUAUGCGUUACGAAAUUGAUCUCGAAAUAUUUGGGACGAACGCAUCGUAUUUUAUUCUUUCCCAAAAAAAGAAAAAAAAAGAUAAUCAAAAUUCAAACGUAUUGAGAAAACAGAAAGAAAAUAAGCAUCUUAGUUUCCUUCCUUUCAGAUUACAAUUUAAGAUCGACCUCACACUAUUAAUACGCUUAAAUUUAUCCGUAAGAAGUUGACGAAAUUUAAUAGUUUUUACAAAUACAAUUUUCCUUAAUUGUAGUUUAUUUUUCCCCAGUAGUAGAAACGUUGCGUGAAAUUCAAAUCCUGUGGGGAAAUUCAAUAGCUUAUUUUGUAGCGCUACAGUUUGUUCAAGUUUAUCGAUAGAAAUACCUAGGAAUGUCAAGAUUUACUUUUACGUUGAAAAUGUUGCCAAAGCUUAAGUUGAGUUAUAGCUUAUUAUGAUUAAGAACUAAUUGAAUGAUCGAUCGAUUUAUAUAAUAAGUUGACGCUACGUUUGUCUGAAACGAAUCGUACUCUUAUCGUUGGACGUUUGCAAGUACAAAUAGAUAUGUAAUGCCCCCGAGUAACAUCGGGAUAUCUCAAUCAAUCUGAUCGAAUAGAUAAUUACAAUUGAUAGAUAUAAACGUACGAGUAUUAGCAAUGAUCGGAUAAAAUAUUCGUCAGAUAUUAAUUUAUUUAGCUAGAAUUUACCAUGGGUAAUAAAAAAUGAUAAAAAUUUUAUUUGUGAUGCGCGAAGUGAACGAUGUUUCCGGAUAUUAACUGAAAUCGCAGUAUCUGAUUUUCGAUUUAUUCAUAAAAAAGUAACAUUACACACGUAUUGUAAUUACAAAUGAAGGCACGCGAAGUUAAGGAUAAUAACUUGGAGUUCCAGACAUUUUUCUAUCGGUUGUCAGACUAUUACCGGUUUCUAGAGUCUGUUGACAUCUUGUCAUUAUUACAUCAAUGCCAAAAUUUGAGUUUAGUAAUAAUUAUGAACAAUAUGAAAUUAAAAAAUUACAAUACUGCGUUCUUUUCCGUGUCUCCAUAUCAUCAUUUGGCUUGAAUAGUUGCGUAUCUCAUGCCAAAUUUCAAACGUAAGAUAACCGUUACUCGUAGAUACUUAAAAAAUGUUGAAACGAGUCAUUAUGCAUGUUACAUACGUACUAUAAGAAAAAUUACGACAUACCUAAUCGAAUACAAAAUGUGUUUGUGUGCAA